CCUACGGGUGGCAGCAGUUAGGAAUAUUGGUCAAUGGGCGGAAGCCUGAACCAGCCAAGUCGCGUGAGGGAUUAAGGCCCUGCGGGUCGUAAACCUCUUUUGCCGGGGAGCAGUGUUCCGGACGCGUCCGUACCGGUAGAUUACCCGUAGCAAAAGCAUCGGCUAACUCCGUGCCAGCAGCCGCGGUAAUCCGGAGGAUUCGAGCGUUAUCCGGAUUUAUUGGGUUUAAAGGGUACUUAGGCGGGCAGUUAAUCCGUCGGUAAAAUGUCGGGGCUCAACCCCGGCCUGCCGUCGGAACUGGGUGCCUUGAGUGGGCGAGAAGUAGGCGGAAUGCGUGGUGGAGCGGUGAAAUGCAUAGAUAUCACGCAGAACCCCGAUUGCGAAGGCAGCAUACCGGCGCCCGACUGACGCUGAGGCACGAAAGUGCGGGUAUCGAACAGGAUUAGAUACCCGAGUAGUC
rnacentral:rRNA from 1 species